rnacentral:tRNA from 1 species
CGGGAUGUCGCGUAAGGGUUAGCGCACCUGGUCUGGGGCCAGGUGGACGGGGUUCGAGUCCCUGCUUCCCGACCC